rnacentral:rRNA from 1 species
GGUCAAGUUAUUAAGGGUGCAGGGCGGAUGCCUUGGCACUAGGAGCCGAUGAAGGACGUGAUAAGCUGCGAUAAGCUUCGGGGAGUUGCACGUAAACUUUGAUCCGAAGAUUUCCGAAUGAGGAAACUCACUUAGAGUAAUGUCUAAGUAUCAUUAAGUGAAUACAUAGCUUAAUGAGGGGAACUCAGGGAACUGAAACAUCUAAGUACCUGAAGGAAGAGAAAGAAAUUCGAUUCCGUAAGUAGCGGCGAGCGAACGCGGAUUAGCCCAAACCAAUAAAGUUUUCUUUAUUGGGGUUGCGGACAUAUCAUAACGAAGAGGUAUCGUAAUUGAAGAGGUUUGGAAAGACCCACCACAGAAGGUAAUAGUCCUGUAUGUUAAACGAGAAGACUUCAGAU